UCAAUCAUCAAACUUCACCUAUCCUUUGAACCCUUUUUCCAACUUCCGCUUAAAGUUAAUCAAAAUCCAUUUUUCUCACCAAACGAACGACUCUUCUCGUCGACGAUCGGGCAAACAAGUGAAUCGACUCAAUCAAUCGAGCCGGAUCACAUCAUUUGGUAUCAGAGCUUGCAAAACGAGGAGCACCGACGUUCGUAACAAGGCCGCAAGUAGGUUCGGAACGUGAAAAAAAAAUCAAAAAAAAUUUCGAGUUGUAAUUUAUUUUUUUUUCCUUCCUUGUAUUUACCUUACUAUUGUAUUGGAGUAUCACAAAAAAAAUCAAAAUUCAAAAAAAAAAUUCGAAAAAAAAGAAAAAAAGAAGUGAGCAAAAAAAAAGAGUAAAAAAAAGAAGAAAAAAAAGAAGUGAAAAGUCUUGCGAGUUUUAUUUUCAUCUCUUAUUACUCCGAUCAUCAAGUAUCCCUUCCUACCAUUAUUUAUCCAUCCCAACGCCACACUUUAAACCAAUUUUUUUCUUUGUUCAGCCUACCUUACACCUGACAUUAUCCCUUGUAACCCAUUUUGAAACCGA
rnacentral:lncRNA from 1 species